UGCCAUUGACAAUGGUACGUUUAGUGGCGAUCAACGCGCCACCAAAGACCUACAGUAGCAAUAUCAAGUCGCCACAGAAAGUGUUUAAUUUUUCUUAGGUUGCCACUAAAACCUAUUAUCUGUGGCAACUUCGGUCGGCAUUGAAGUAUCUCUUUUUUAAAAAAAUAAUAAUUAAUUGACAGCUAAUUUUACUACUUUACCCAACAACAUAUCAUAUUAUAAGAAACACCACCAAAUAUAAUUGAAAAAAAUGACAUAAACUUUUCAUUACCAUCUAUUCUACAAAGUAUACACCAUCCAUAAUACAUUCAAUUGUGCAUAACACAUGGAAAACAAAAUCAAUUGUUUAUGGAUUCCUCCUUGGCCAACAUCCAUUUUCCUUUUCGACGAACCUUUGUCCCUGCAAUUUAAAGAGCAAAAAUGCCAAUGAUCAUUUUGAUAACCCUCGUAACAGAAAGAAACUUUUUCUUUAUAAUAUGUGAAGUACUUAUCAAAUCCAACUAAGGUUCAUAUCAACUUAUAUACAAGACAGACUUAUGAAAUGAACAACUUCAGUAACCACUACUGCUGACACCAGUAAACCUUCAUCUUUACCCUAAGCACUAUCCUUUUAUGGCAUCCUAAUUAAUCCAAAACUGAUAGACAUUAAGGUCUUGAGUACUGUAUAAUAUUUUUCUCAAAUUUGUGACUUCUAAUGAAAUUGAAAACAUCUCUCAGCAAACUAGCAGAACCUCCAAAUAAAUCAUGGCAUUACAUAUUGUUGAAAGUUCAGAGAAAAAAUCAAAGCGUUGAGCAUAAUAUAUCGUACAACAUGUAAAGCAAGGAAUAAUAUUAAAAUGGCAAAAGGAUAUACCUGGACAAGCAGUUUAGAUAACCUGGGACGAGCAGUGCUAGGCUGAAUUUAGGAGUGACUCCUUUUGGCCGUCCCUGAAAUUUCAAUAAGCAAGAUAACGUAAGAGUUGACAUAUCCUCGUUAAUUUAGUAAAAUGUGGAAGAAGAGAGUAAACAUCAAGAAAGUUACAAUACCUUCUAAAAGGUUAUUACUAGAAUUUUACUAAUUUCUUGAUAACUAGCUAUCCAUAUACACACGAUUUCCUAUGAUAGUGGCAGGAGAUAAAUAGGUAGAAUUACAAUUCCAAGUUGAUGUUGCAAUUUUAUAUUUUUUUAAAAAGAUACAAGUUUCUUAAGAGUAAUUUUGCAUAUCACCUAAAAAUGAAUCUUAUGUUGUUUUGAAAUAAAUAAUGAGAUUAUCAAAUUAACAAAUUAAUUAUCAAUCAUACAAUAAAUAUAAUGCACCACUCACAUGUGCAAACUGUAUUAGCAACACAUCAGAUGAGAUUUUUAAACUUGUAUUUGACCAUGAAGAGCCUUGCCAGAUACUGCAGCUUUAUGCAGUACUAACAGUGUGCCCAUCUACACUUGAGUCAAACCUUCUUUAGAUAUUAACUAUUACAUACUUAAAUAUAAAGUGUGAAACUAGUUAGUAAACAGAAUGAUUAUUAAAAUGUAACUUAUAGUAUUUGAUUAUCUUGCCAUAAAGGAGAAACUAGUUUCUGUAUCUUGUCAGAUAGCUUCUGGCUUCUCCUCGCAGACACCUACAACAUAAGCAAAAAUUCACCCCUUUCUAGAGCUAGUAACUUAAUUUGGUAUUUACAGGAUGUGCGCAUACCAUGGCAUCAAUUAUUAUAGGGAAAAAAGAGUUGCCCUUUAUCUUUGAAUGUCCUGGUGGUAACUAAAUGCUCUUGAAAGCCCCUCUAAGUUAGAAUUUGAUUGUAAUUUGAAGCUCUAUAUCACGUAAUACUAAGCAAUGUUUGAUUUUGAGUCCAAGAAGCAUGAUAUUAGAAGAGAAAGAAUCAAAAAUAGUUAAAGUAACCACACUUCAAUUGUCUUUUACUAUCAAGUUACCUUGGUAGCAGUGACAUCUGAAGCACCCCUAUCUGAUCCAUACAGAAUAGUACGAAGGUAUUAAGGGAUCACACACCUUAUACUCAAUCACCAUUCUCAUGUUGUUAGAGAUUCAACCUUAAAAUAUAUAUGCAGAAACUGAUUUAUUCAGUUCUCAGUCAAUAGAAGCACAACUCAGUUGUAGAGAAGAUACUUAAAUCUAUUGUACAGAGGAUGUUCCACAGAAUAUGUAUUUUUCUUUCAAAAAUUAAGACUACAAGGAGAUUUAUUUACAAUCAUUUGUAAAAAUACAAUUACCAAACUGAAAGGCAUACGACUGAGUGGACAAUCAAUGUGAAAUUUCAUGCAUGUCCAAGUCUAUAUGUAUUUACCAGUAAAAUUCAUAUUAUUUUUAACACUAAACAUAUAUGAGCAAUUGAUAAAGAGUCCUUUUUAUAUUUUGAAACGAUAACAAACAUAAAAGUGGUGCCAAGAUCAGUUAACAAAGCAAGCUCUUGCAAAUUCCAAUUAGAGAACUUUGCUAUAUGCCUAGAAAUUAAAACAUGAAAUGACUUAAUUUACAGGAUAAAGAGCCUCAAGAAAAUGUAUGGAGGUAAAAAUUAGAGUCGCUCAAACACUGAAGCAAAGAAGGCAACAAAAAAUCCAAAAAGCAAGUCAAAUUGAAAUAACCAACACACAUCGAAAAAGUACAAUCACAUCCACAAGAAAAUAGCACAUCUCCAAAUUACAUAAAUUUAAGCAAUCAACUCGAAAAAAUAUACUUACGACUGACUAUAUAGCAGUCGAGCCAACGAAUCUUAUCCACUAUCCGCCCUAUUUCUGGCUAAAUUCCACCCUUGUCAUUGUAAUUAAGGGGAUGGUAGUAGCAUCAUGAAAGGGGUAGAGAAGACGAAAAAGAUUAAAAGGAGUCGUCGGAUUUGGAUUAGUGAUUUAUAGGUCGAAGAGACGAAAUCGUCGGUGGAAGUUGCUCAAUUGGAUGAAUUUGGGGAAGGGGAAGAUAUGGUUUUACGGGGAGGUUUGAGGGUAAUGAGAUUCUAGGGUUCGUUGGGGGCUGGCAUGGGGUGGGGUAUGGGCUUGGGGAACGUUUAUGGAAAGGAAAUUUGGGUUUGAGUCUGACCACUUUUUCUUUUUUAUUUGGUUACUUUUAC
rnacentral:lncRNA from 1 species